UGGGGAAUAUUGGACAAUGGGCGAAAGCCUGAUCCAGCCAUGCCGCGUGUGUGAAGAAGGUCUUCGGAUUGUAAAGCACUUUAAGUUGGGAGGAAGGGCAGUAAGCGAAUACCUUGCUGUUUUGACGUUACCGACAGAAUAAGCACCGGCUAACUCUGUGCCAGCAGCCGCGGUAAUACAGAGGGUGCAAGCGUUAAUCGGAAUUACUGGGCGUAAAGCGCGCGUAGGUGGUUCGUUAAGUUGAAUGUGAAAGCCCCGGGCUCAACCUGGGAACUGCAUCCAAAACUGGCGAGCUAGAGUAGGGCAGAGGGUGGUGGAAUUUCCUGUGUAGCGGUGAAAUGCGUAGAUAUAGGAAGGAACACCAGUGGCGAAGGCGACCACCUGGGCUCAUACUGACAAUGAAGUGCGAAAGCGUGGGGAGCAAACAGG
rnacentral:rRNA from 1 species